CCGCGGUAAUAUUGGUCAAUGGCCGCAGGGCUGAACCAGCCAAGUCGCGUGAGGGAUGACGGUCCUAUGGAUUGUAAACCUCUUUUGUCAGGGAGCAACGCCGGCUACGUGUAGCCGGACUGAGAGUACCUGAAGAAAAAGCAUCGGCUAACUCCGUG
rnacentral:rRNA from 1 species